rnacentral:tRNA from 1 species
GCGCCCGUAGCUCAGCUGGAUAGAGCACCUGGCUUCGAACCAGGUGGUCGGAGGUUCAACUCCUUCCGGGCGUG